UACGGAGGGUGCAAGCGUUGUCCGGAAUUAUUGGGCGUAAAGAGCUCGUAGGCGGUUUGUCGCGUCUGCUGUGAAAACUCGGGGCUUAACUCCGGGCCUGCAGUGGGUACGGGCAGACUAGAGUGCGGUAGGGGAGACUGGAAUUCCUGGUGUAGCGGUGAAAUGCGCAGAUAUCAGGAGGAACACCGGUGGCGAAGGCGGCUCUCUGGGCCUUACCUGACGCUGAGGAGCGAAAGCGUGGGUAGCGAACAGG
rnacentral:rRNA from 1 species